rnacentral:rRNA from 1 species
UACCGCAAACCGACACUGGUGCGCGAGAUGAGUAUUCUAAGGCGCUUGAGAGAACUCUGGAGAAGGAACUCGGCAAAUUGACACCGUAACUUCGGAAGAAGGUGUGCCUUUAGUAGGUGAACCAUUUACUUGGGGAGCCCAAUGAGGCCGCAGAGAAUCGGUGGCUGCAACUGUUUAUUAAAAACACAGCACUCUGCAAAGACGAAAGUCGACGUAUAGGGUGUGACUCCUGCCCGGUGCUGGAAGAUUAAAUGAUGGGGUGCAAGCUCUUGACUGAAGUCCCAGUAAACGGCGGCCGUAACUAUAACGGUCCUAAGGUAGCGAAAUUCCUUGUCGGGUAAGUUCCGACCUGCACGAAUGGAGUAAUGAUGGCCACACUGUCUCCUCCAGAGACUCAGCGAAGUUGAAAUGUUUGUGAUGAUGCAAUCUCCCCGCGGAAAGACGGAAAGACCCCAUGAACCUUACCGUAGCUUUACAUUGGACUUUGAACAGAUCUGUGUAGGAUAGGUGGGAGGCUUUGAAGAGUGGACGCUAGUUUGCUUGGAGCCAACGUUGAAAUACCACCCUGGUGUGUUUGAGGUUCUAACCUUGGUCCCUUAUCGGGAUUGGGGACAGUGUAUGGUGGGCAGUUUGACUGGGGCGGUCUCCUCCCAAAGUGUAACGGAGGAGUUCGAAGGUACGCUAAAUACGGUCGGAAAUCGUGUUGAUAGUGCAUUGGCAUAAGCGUGCUUGACUGCGAGACUGACAAGUCGAGCAGGUACGAAAGUAGGACAAAGUGAUCCGGUGGUUCUGUAUGGAAGGGCCAUCGCUCAACGGAUAAAAGGUACUCUCUGGAUAACAGGCUGAUACCGCCCAAGAGUUCAUAUCGACGGCGGUGUUUGGCACCUCGAUGUCGGCUCAUCUCAUCCUGGGGCUGUAGCCGGUCCCAAGGGUAUGGCUGUUCGCCAUUUAAAGAGGUACGUGAGCUGGGUUUAAAACGACGUGAGACAGUUUGGUCCCUAUCUUCCGUGGGCGCUGCAAGAUUGAGAGAGCCUGCUCCUAGUACGAGAGGACCGGAGUGGACGCACCUCUGGUGUAUCGGUUGUCACGCCAGUGGCAUCGCCGAGUAGCUAAGUGCGGAAGAGAUAACCGCUGAAAGCAUCUAAGCGGGAAACUCGUCUCAAGAUGAGUCUUGCCGGGGCCUAGAGCCCCCUGAAGGGUCGUUCGAGACCAGGACGUUGAUAGGCUGGGUGUGGAAGCGCGGUAACGCGUUAAGCUAACCAGUACUAAUUGCCCGUGAGGCUUGACCCU